rnacentral:rRNA from 1 species
AAAAAAGGUAAGCUACUAAGAGCGAAUGGUGGAUGCCUUGACUGGUAAAGGCGAUGAAGGACGUACUAGACUGCGAUAAGCUACGGGGAGCUGUCAAGAAGCUUUGAUCCGUAGAUUUCCGAAUGGGGCAACCCAAUGUAUAGAGAUAUACAUUACCUAUAUAGGAGCGAACGAGGGGAAUUGAAACAUCUUAGUACCCUCAGGAAAAGAAAUCAAUAGAGAUUGCGUCAGUAGCGGCGAGCGAAAGCGCAAGAGGGCAAACCCAGUGCUUGCACUGGGGGUUGUAGGACUGCAAUGUGCAAGAGGUAAGUUUAGCAGAACAUUCUGGAAAGUAUAACCAUAGAGGGUGAUAGUCCCGUAUGCGAAAAACAAACCUUAGCUAGCAGUAUCCUGAGUAGGGCGGGACACGAGGAAUCCUGUCUGAAUCUGGGUCGACCACGAUCCAACCCUAAAUACUAAUACCAGAUCGAUAGUGCACAAGUACCGUGAGGGAAAGGUGAAAAGAACUGAGGUGAUCAGAGUGAAAUAGAACCUGAAACCAUUUGCUUACAAUCAUUCAGAGCCCUAUGUAGCAAUACAGGGUGAUGGACUGCCUUUUGCAUAAUGAGCCUGCGAGUUGUGGUGUCUGGCAAGGUUAAGCAAACGCGAAGCCGUAGCGAAAGCGAGUCUGAAUAGGGCGCUUAGUCAGAUGCUGCAGACCCGAAACGAAGUGAUCUAUCCAUGAGCAAGUUGAAGCUAGUGUAAGAACUAGUGGAGGACUGAACCCAUAGGCGUUGAAAAGCCCCGGGAUGACUUGUGGAUAGGGGUGAAAGGCCAAUCAAACUUCGUGAUAGCUGGUUCUCUCCGAAAUAUAUUUAGGUAUAGCGUUGUGUCGUAAUAUAAGGGGGUAGAGCACUGAAUGGGCUAGGGCAUACACCAAUGUACCAAACCCUAUCAAACUCCGAAUACCUUAUAUGUAAUCACAGCAGUCAGGCGGCGAGUGAUAAAAUCCGUCGUCAAGAGGGAAACAACCCAGACUACCAGCUAAGGUCCCUAAAUCUUACUUAAGUGGAAAACGAUGUGAAGUUACUUAAACAACCAGGAGGUUGGCUUAGAAGCAGCCAUCCUUUAAAGAAAGCGUAAUAGCUCACUGGUCUAGUGAUUUUGCGCGGAAAAUAUAACGGGGCUAAAGUAAGUACCGAAGCUGUAGACUUGCACACAACUUAGAUUAUUUAAGUUUAGAAUAUGAGAAACUAAGUUAUAUGUUUAGUUAUAUUUUUACUGAUUUUUAUAGAGUAAAGAUAGAAAUAAAACUUAGUAAAAUCAGUAAAAAUAUUCUUAGACUAAAGUUAAGUAGUUUAAGUUGUGUGCAAGUGGUAGGAGAGCGUUCUAUUUGCGUCGAAGGUAUACCGGUAAGGAGUGCUGGAGCGAAUAGAAGUGAGCAUGCAGGCAUGAGUAGCGAUAAUUAAUGUGAGAAUCAUUAACGCCGUAAACCCAAGGUUUCCUACGCGAUGCUCGUCAUCGUAGGGUUAGUCGGGUCCUAAGUCGAGUCCGAAAGGGGUAGACGAUGGCAAAUUGGUUAAUAUUCCAAUACCAACAUUAGUGUGCGAUGGAAGGACGCUUAGGGCUAAGGGGGCUAGCGGAUGGAAGUGCUAGUCUAAGGUCGUAGGAGGUUAUACAGGCAAAUCCGUAUAACAAUACUCCGAGAACUGAAAGGCUUUUUGAAGUCUUCGGAUGGAUAGAAGAACCCCUGAUGCCGUCGAGCCAAGAAAAGUUUCUAAGUUUAGCUAAUGUUGCCCGUACCGUAAACCGACACAGGUGGGUGGGAUGAGUAUUCUAAGGCGCGUGGAAGAACUCUCUUUAAGGAACUCUGCAAAAUAGCACCGUAUCUUCGGUAUAAGGUGUGGUUAGCUUUGUAUUAGGAUUUACUCCGAAAGCAAGGAAACUUACAACAAAGAGUCCCUCCCGACUGUUUACCAAAAACACAGCACUCUGCUAACUCGUAAGAGGAUGUAUAGGGUGUGACGCCUGCCCGGUGCUCGAAGGUUAAUUGAUGGGGUUAGCAUUAGCGAAGCUCUUGAUCGAAGCCCGAGUAAACGGCGGCCGUAACUAUAACGGUCCUAAGGUAGCGAAAUUCCUUGUCGGUUAAAUACCGACCUGCAUGAAUGGCGUAACGAGAUGGGAGCUGUCUCAAAGAGGGAUCCAGUGAAAUUGUAGUGGAGGUGAAAAUUCCUCCUACCCGCGGCAAGACGGAAAGACCCCGUGGACCUUUACUACAGCUUGACACUGCUACUUGGAUAAGAAUGUGCAGGAUAGGUGGGAGGCUUUGAGUAUAUGACGCCAGUUGUAUAUGAGCCAUUGUUGAGAUACCACUCUUUCUUAUUUGGGUAGCUAACCAGCUUGAGUUAUCCUCAAGUGGGACAAUGUCUGGUGGGUAGUUUGACUGGGGCGGUCGCCUCCCAAAUAAUAACGGAGGCUUACAAAGGUUGGCUCAGAACGGUUGGAAAUCGUUCGUAGAGUAUAAAGGUAUAAGCCAGCUUAACUGCAAGACAUACAAGUCAAGCAGAGACGAAAGUCGGUCUUAGUGAUCCGGUGGUUCUGUGUGGAAGGGCCAUCGCUCAAAGGAUAAAAGGUACCCCGGGGAUAACAGGCUGAUCUCCCCCAAGAGCUCACAUCGACGGGGAGGUUUGGCACCUCGAUGUCGGCUCAUCGCAUCCUGGGGCUGGAGCAGGUCCCAAGGGUAUGGCUGUUCGCCAUUUAAAGCGGUACGCGAGCUGGGUUCAGAACGUCGUGAGACAGUUCGGUCCCUAUCUGCCGUGGGCGUAAGAAGAUUGAAGAGAUUUGACCCUAGUACGAGAGGACCGGGUUGAACAAACCACUGGUGUAGCUGUUGUUCUGCCAAGAGCAUCGCAGCGUAGCUAAGUUUGGAAAGGAUAAACGCUGAAAGCAUCUAAGCGUGAAGCCAACUCUAAGAUGAAUCUUCUCUAAGCUCUCUAGAAGACUACUAGUUUGAUAGGCUGGGUGUGUAAUGGAUGAAAGUC